AAUCGGAAAAGAAUAGAAGAUUUUAAACGCCCUGUAUUAUCUCCCCCCAGCCGCCGCGAAAGCUUCCGCCGGCCGGCCGCCGCCGCAACGCCAUGUUCCAACUCCGAGCGCGUGUCCUCUCUUUCCUUGUCCACUCACCACCCCGUCUCCGCGCCUCCCGCGUCUCUCCCCUCUUUGCCCUCCGCCGCAAGGCCCGCAACCUCUCCGCCACCACAUCCGCCUCACCAAGCCCCUUCGCCGCCGAGGACUACCUCGUCGCCACCUGCGGCGUCCCCCGCGCCCAAGCCGUCAAGGCAGCGAAGAAGAUCUCCCACCUCAAGUCCUCCUCCAAGCCCGACGCGGUCGUCGCCUUCCUCUCCGGCCUCGGCGUCCCCCGCUCCGACAUCGCCGCCAUCGUCGCCGUCGACCCGUGGUUCCUCUGCGCCAGCGUGGAGAGGACCCUGGCGCCCCGCGUCACCGAGCUGAGGGAGCUCGGCCUCUCGCGCUCCGAGGUCGCGCGCCUCGUCCCGCUCGCCCUCUGCUCCUUCCGCAGCAGCUCCCUCAGGGGCAACCUCGACUUCUGGCUCUCGGUCUUCGGCUCCUACGAGAAGCUCCUCAAGGCCCUCAAGAUGAACUCCGGCCUCCUCGCCGCCGACCUCGAGAAGGUGGCCAAGCCGAAUCUGGCCCUCCUCCGGCAAUGCGGGCUAAGUCCCUCCGUCUUCUCGGAGCCCUUCAUUUCCCGGGUGCUCGUCAGGACCCCCAAGAAAGUUCAGGACGCUUUGGUGCACAUUGACAAGUUUGGGGUGUCGCAGAACUCGCGGAUGUUCCUCUACGCGCUUGUGGCCUUCACCGUCCAGAGCCCGGAGAAGCUCACCGACAAGAUCGGAGUCCUCGAGACGCUUGGUUGGUCGCAGGGCGAUGUGCUGCUAGCUGUGAAGACGAUGCCGGGCAUCCUGACCAUAUCCGAGGAGAGGCUGCAGAAAAAUGUGCAUUUCCUCACAAAGGUUGCUGGACUGGAGAUAUCUUACAUUGCUCAAAGGCCGGUGCUGCUCAAGUAUAGCCUUGAGCGCCGCUUGUUUCCCCGGUACUGCUUGCUUAAGCUACUGAACACGAAGGGAUUGCUGGAUCUCCGAUUUGAUUACAAUGCCGCCUCGCUGUCCGAGAAGAAGUUUCUUGGCAGGUUCGUGCAUCCUUACAAGGAGAGUCUUCCAGGCCUUGCUGAUGUUUAUGCUUCUAGCUGUGCUGGGAAACUACAGAUGGAGUUGCUAUCAGAGAACACAAAAGAAAACUAGAGAAUCUACCUUGCCUGUCCUGGGUGAGCACCAUAGGAUUGCCAUGUUGGAUGGAAAAAGUUAAGAUGAAUGUCUUCUCCAGGAAUGGUUUUCUAGAAGCUGGAAACCUGAAGGUUACAAUAUCAACUCUCUUUUUUUACCGGGUUAUCUCUACUCUGAACUUUAGUUUGAUUAUCUGGAGGCCAGGCUAUAAAUUAACAGCAAGUGCGAGCACAUUCAUUACUGAAGCCGUUGAGCCUCCUCAUUUCCAUGCAAUAUGUUGACCCGAAUAGAGAUCGUCUCAACCAGGGUACAUGCGUCAUUGUUGCCUAAACAACAACACAUACAUAAUCACACCACAAGCAACAUAGCUCAGCAUGCAGUAGCGGGCAUAACAACAAGAGGGCAAAACUUUUGCUCUCAGGAUGGGGGUGGAUGCCAUGGAUAUGGUGUCCAUCAGUCUCUGCUUAACGAGGCUAAAGGAACCAAAUUAAUUACUCUGACACAUGGGUUGCCCAAUGCCUCUCAAGUAUGUCCCAUUUGCAUUCAACGUGAUCUCUACUAUGUACAUAUCUGGACGAUCUCCAUUCAUCAUCAGUAGACUAACUGGGAUAUAAAGAGGCUUCGAAUGUACGUAUGUUUAUAUGUUGGGCAUUGCUGCCACAGAGAUGCUUCACUGCAUUGCAUUUAUCGGCUAAUGUGGAUGGAUUCUUCAUUUUCAGCACAUGCAUGCAGUACUUCUAGUUAUAUUGAUUUGCUACCUCCAUCUUUAUUGUAGAACCAUAUUUAUUUAAUUAUUUUCAUGUGCUCACAGGCAUUUGAUAAGGUUGCACACUGACUGUCAUGUGCUGAACCUGGUAAAGAUCAAGAGAACAGGGAUACUACAGUCACCCUCAUCUAGCCGCUUGCAGGGUCUUUUUUUUUGAAAGGAACACCAAAUGCAUUCCAUUAUAUAACAGUACAGGGCAAAUCGCCCUUUACAUAAUCCAGUACAAAGUCUGGGAGUUGGCCCAGCCAAGUCUCACACACAUCAACUCCCAGAUUAGCUCCAUAUGCAGCUAAAACAUGUGCCACCCUAUUACAAUCCCGAGGGCAAGACACAACACUACUAACCGAAAACCCCACAUGCAUUUGGAAUUUUAUGCUCCUGAUAAUAGCUCCUAAAUUCGCUAGAUCAUAAUCUUUAGAGUUCACUGUCCUCAUCAGCUGCGUGGAGUCAGUUUCAAACAAAACCUUGUCACAUCCUAUAUUAAUAGAUAUUUUUACAUGUAUUCUUGUUCGUACCGUCUCAGAAAAUACGUGCAGUAACUUGUUCUGGUUAACUACAACUUCUGCAUUUUAUAUGUCACAUUUUGUGUGUGUAUGCAUAUAUGAAUUUGUAAGGCUUGUGGAGCCACAAAUAUAGUUAUAGUUACACGAAAAGCACAAGCUUGUUUGCUUCCUAGUAAUCAUGUGUGCAGACUCCAAUAAUAAUCAUGUGUUGGCUGCCUAGUUCAAUAUAUUAGUUUGAAACUGAAGAUUAACUUCCAUUGUUUUUUAGCAAGACUUUAUGUUUCAGUUGGAGUUAUUUCUUGUUUCAUCUUUCUCUAUAGUAUCACUUAGGAUGUUGGUUCUACAAUGAAGGACUAUUCAAAGUCUCAAUAGUUCACUGUUGUUGUCAUAUUCUCAGUUCUGUAUUAGUAAGUUUCAGGAUCCCGGUCGGUACCAACAGUUUUUAGUGGAAUCUUGUACAUGGAAGAUGUGAGCACAAGAAUACAUCUAUACGUAUAUUGGAGC